CUGGCAGUGUGAGCGCGUGUGCGCAUGUGUAAGUGUGUAAGUAAUACAAAUAACCAUGCAAGUGUGAAUGUGAGUGCAAUAACAAUAAUUAGAUGGCGUUGCCAGCAAGUGCGAAACAUAAAAUAGCAUAAAACAUUACAACAACAUCAGCAGCAGCAGCAGCAGUCAUAGCAGCAGCGGCGUCAGCGCACAAAGAACUCGCUUAAAGAAUACCUUCAAGUCUAAGGUGCAACAGAAACUGUCUUUGAUCACUUAGAAUGAGAUGAAAAGUUGUUGGAGUGCAUAGAAAAUACGACGAUCAGCUUUUUCCCUAAGUUCGGCCAAACAAUGGCGGGAAAAUUAGCACAGCUGCUUCAAAAAGCGAGCGCGCACGCUCUUUGCGAGUAUUUAAAUGUGUAUUAAACGAACGGUAAAUGAUAUGGAGAGUGAGAAAAACAAAUGGAAUAAACAUGCAUUAAAAAUUAUUAUAAAAGAAUUCGUGGAAUCGUGGAAAAAGAAGAGAACUUAUU